UACGAAGGGGGCUAGCGUUGCUCGGAAUCACUGGGCGUAAAGCGCACGUAGGCCGAUUGUUAAGUCAGGGGUGAAAUCCUGGAGCUCAACUCCAGAACUGCCUUUGAUACUGGCGAUCUCGAGUCCGGGAGAGGUGAGUGGAACUGCGAGUGUAGAGGUGAAAUUCGUAGAUAUUCGCAAGAACACCAGUGGCGAAGGCGGCUCACUGGCCCGGUACUGACGCUGAGGUGCGAAAGCGUGGGGAGCAAACAGG
rnacentral:rRNA from 1 species